rnacentral:rRNA from 1 species
GUGCCUAAUACAUGCAAGUCGAGCGAACAGAUGAGAAGCUUGCUUCUCUGAUGUUAGCGGCGGACGGGUGAGUAACACGUGGGUAACCUACCUAUAAGACUGGGAUAACUCCGGGAAACCGGGGCUAAUACCGGAUAAUAUUUUGAACCGCAUGGUUCAAUAGUGAAAGACGGUUUCGGCUGUCACUUAUAGAUGGACCCGCGCCGUAUUAGCUAGUUGGUAAGGUAAUGGCUACCAAGGCGACGAUACGUAGCCGACCUGAGAGGGUGAUCGGCCACACUGGAACUGAGACACGGUCCAGACUCCUACGGGAGGCAGCAGUAGGGAAUCUUCCGCAAUGGGCGAAAGCCUGACGGAGCAACGCCGCGUGAGUGAUGAAGGUUUUCGGAUCGUAAAACUCUGUUGUUAGGGAAGAACAAAUUUGUUAGUAACUGAACAAGUCUUGACGGUACCUAACCAGAAAGCCACGGCUAACUACGUGCCAGCAGCCGCGGUAAUACGUAGGUGGCAAGCGUUAUCCGGAAUUAUUGGGCGUAAAGCGCGCGUAGGCGGUUUCUUAAGUCUGAUGUGAAAGCCCACGGCUCAACCGUGGAGGGUCAUUGGAAACUGGGAAACUUGAGUGCAGAAGAGGAGAGUGGAAUUCCAUGUGUAGCGGUGAAAUGCGCAGAGAUAUGGAGGAACACCAGUGGCGAAGGCGGCUCUCUGGUCUGUAACUGACGCUGAUGUGCGAAAGCGUGGGGAUCAAACAGGAUUAGAUACCCUGGUAGUCCACGCCGUAAACGAUGAGUGCUAAGUGUUAGGGGGUCUCCGCCCCUUAGUGCUGCAGCUAACGCAUUAAGCACUCCGCCUGGGGAGUACGACCGCAAGGUUGAAACUCAAAUGAAUUGACGG